rnacentral:misc_RNA from 1 species
AACGGUCUAUACCUGCGGUACCUGCGGAGGGAUCAUUAACGAUUUCGGUGUAAAAAACCGUUUUCUACCUAUGUCUACGCGUACCACUUGUUUCCUCGGGGGGCUUGCCCCCCGCUAGGACCCUUUAUCAAACCUUUUUGUAAUAGCAGUCAGCGUCUGAUACUACGUUAAUUAUUAAAACUUUUAACAACGGAUCUCU